GAUGAACGCUGGCGGCGUGCUUAACACAUGCAAGUCGAACGAAGCAUUUAGGACAGAUUACUUCGGUUUGAAGUUCUUUAUGACUGAGUGGCGGACGGGUGAGUAACGCGUGGGUAACCUGCCUUGUACUGGGGGAUAGCAGCUGGAAACGGCUGGUAGUACCGCAUAAGCGCACAAUGUUGCAUGACAUGGUGUGAAAAACUCCGGUGGUAUAAGAUGGACCCGCGUCUGAUUAGCUAGUUGGUGAGAUAACAGCCCACCAAGGCGACGAUCAGUAGCCGACCUGAGAGGGUGACCGGCCACAUUGGGACUGAGACACGGCCCAGACUCCUACGGGAGGCAGCAGUGGGGAAUAUUGCACAAUGGAGGAAACUCUGAUGCAGCGACGCCGCGUGAGUGAAGAAGUAAUUCGUUAUGUAAAGCUCUAUCAGCAGGGAAGAUAGUGACGGUACCUGACUAAGAAGCGCCGGCUAAAUACGUG
rnacentral:rRNA from 1 species